UACAGAGGGGGCAAGCGUUAUUCGGAAUUAUUGGGCGUAAAGGGCGCGUAGGCGGCUUUGCAAGUGGCGGGUGAAAUCCCUCGGCUUAACCGAGGAACUGCCUGCCAGACUGCAAGGCUCGAGACCGGGAGAGGUGAGUGGAAUUCCCAGUGUAGCGGUGAAAUGCGUAGAUAUUAGGAGGAACACCAGUGGCGAAGGCGGCUCACUGGACCGGAACUGACGCUGAGGCGCGAAAGCGUGGGGAGCAAACAGG
rnacentral:rRNA from 1 species